GUGAGUAUCUGAGAACGAUUCCAGGCCCUACGGGGCGCAGCAGGCGCGAAAACUUUACAAUGCAGGAAACUGUGAUAAGGGAACCCCGAGUGCCCGUAUAUGCGGGCUGUCCGGAUGUUUAAAACGCAUCCGAAGAAAGGGCCGGGCAAGACCGGUGCCAGCCGCCGCGGUAAUACCGGCGGCUCGAGUGGUGGCCACUUUUAUUGGGCUUAAAGCGUUCGUAGCUUGAAUAAUAAGUCUCUUGGGAAAUCUGCAGGCUUAACCUGCAGGCGUUUAAGAGAAACUGUUGUUCUAGGAACCGGAAGAGGUGAGAGGUACUCCGGGGGUAGGAGUGAAAUCCUGUAAUCCCCGGGGGACCACCGAUGGCGAAGGCAUCUCACCAGGACGGCUUCGACAGUGAGGAACGAAAGCUGGGGGAGCGAACCGGAUUAGAUACCCGGGUAGUCCC
rnacentral:rRNA from 1 species